GAGCGGCCGAUCUCUGAUUAGCUAGUUGGUGGGGUAAAGGCCUACCAAGGCGAUGAUCAGUAGCUGGUCUGAGAGGAUGAUCAGCCACACUGGGACUGAGACACGGCCCAGACUCCUACGGGAGGCAGCAGUGGGGAAUUUUGGACAAUGGGCGAAAGCCUGAUCCAGCCAUUCCGCGUGAGUGAAGAAGGCCUUCGGGUUGUAAAGCUCUUUCGGCCGGAGCGAAACGGUUACGGGGGAAUAGCCGUGGACUACUGACGGUACCGGCAGAAGAAGCACCGGCUAACUACGUGCCAGCAGCCGCGGUAAUACGUAGGGUGCGAGCGUUAAUCGGAAUUACUGGGCGUAAAGCGUGCGCAGGCGGUAGGUUAAGACAGGUGUGAAAUCCCCGGGCUCAACCUGGGAAUGGCGCUUGUAACUGGCCGGCUAGAGUGUGUCAGAGGGAGGUAGAAUUCCACGUGUAGCAGUGAAAUGCGUAGAGAUGUGGAGG
rnacentral:rRNA from 1 species